AGAGCCGAUAUUUAGAGCCGAUACUGCUUGUGCUCCCUCAAUCAUAAAAAUUACACUGAUAACAAAUGUUACAAGUCUCAAUUUAAAAAAAGGAACAUUUAUUGAACUUCAAUAUAAAAAACAAUAUUUAAUAAAUAGUAAAAACAGGUGAGUUAGAACAAGUAAAAAAAAAAAAAUAAAAAAAAAACGUGGCGAAAAAAAUAUCGGCGAAAAUCAGCCGCGUAUCGGCCGAUACCGAUACACGUAAAAAAAACGCGAAUAUCGGCCGAUAAUAUUGGCCGACCGAUAUAUCGGUCGAUCCCUAGU